rnacentral:rRNA from 1 species
ACCCUUUGUUAAAACACUUUGUUGCUUUGGCAGGCCCGUCUUAUCCUUUAACGGGGAGACGACCGCCGGGGGCGUUUAGUCACCUCUGGUCAGUGCUUGCCGAUAGCCUAUUAAAAAUUCUUUAUUAAAUAAUGUCUGAAAAAUUAUAAUUAAAUAUAAUUAAAACUUUCAACAACGGAUCUCUUGGUUCUGGCAUCGAUGAAGAACGCAGCGAAAUGCGAUAAGUAAUGUGAAUUGCAGAAUUCAGUGAAUCAUCGAAUCUUUGAACGCACAUUGCGCCCUUUGGUAUUCCGAAGGGCAUGCCUGUUCGAGCGUCAUUAUCAACCCUCAAGCCCGGCUUGUUAUUGGGUCCUUAUCGUUAAAGAUAGGCCCGAAAGAUAAUGGCGGCGUCACAAAUGACCCCAGAUGCAGCGAGCUUAUAGCAUACAUUGAAAGGUUUUUGUGGCCCGGCCUUAACGAGAAGCAAUUCUCAAUUUUUCAAAGGUUGACCUCGGAUCAGGUAGGAAUACCCGCUGAACUU